AGCGGUGGAUGAUGUGGAUUAAUUCGAUGCAACGCGAAGAACCUUACCAAGGCUUGACAUAUACGAGAACGCUGCAGAAAUGUAGAACUCUUUGGACACUCGUAAACAGGUGGUGCAUGGUUGUCGUCAGCUCGUGUCGUGAGAUGUUGGGUUAAGUCCCGUAACGAGCGCAACCCUUAUCCUUAUUUGCCAGCACGUAAUGGUGGGAACUCUAAGGAGACUGCCGGUGACAAACCGGAGGAAGGAGAGGACGACGUCAAGUCAUCAUGGCCCUUACGGCCUGGGCUACACACGUGCUACAAUGGGCAGUACAGAGGGCCGCAAAGCCGCGAGGUGGAGCAAAUCCCAGAAAACUGCUCGUAGUCCGGAUCGGAGUCUGCAACUCGACUCCGUGAAGUCGGAAUCGCUAGUAAUCGCGAAUCAGCAUGUCGCGGUGAAUACGUUCCCGGGCCUUGUACACACCGCCCGUCAAGCCAUGGAAUCUGGGGGUACCUGAAGUCCGUCACCGUAAGGAGCGGCCUAGGGUAAAACUGGUAACUAGGGCUAAGUCGUAACAAGGUAGCCGUACCGGAAGGUGCGGCUGGAACACCUCCUU
rnacentral:rRNA from 1 species